UAACUGACCUGGCAGGGAGAUACCUUGAUCCAAAAGAAGGUUCUCCCUGGACAAGGCAAUCCCAUUGCACUUCGGGUGUGCUGAUGCCUGCAAUGUGGGAAUGCGGGAAACUUAACUGCAAAGUUUGUACCUCAGAUUUUGUUCCUAUGGACCUUUGU